rnacentral:lncRNA from 1 species
UAGAAAUAUUUUAGCGGAUCAGCGGGUUUAAAUAAACACAUUUAAAAUUCAAAUACAAAUUUGAAUCGCCCCAUUUGACUCCAAAAAAUUUUGUGCCACCCCACCGUAAUGCAAUGAAAUUAUGUGCCAAGUUUCAUAUUUAGCAAAAUUCAUUGGGUAGCUCAAAUUAUUGCAAAACAGUAAUAGAAAAAGAAAAUAAAACGAAAUAGAAAAGUAGGGGGGAACCUAUCCUGCGGCCUUCCCCCACCGGCCAUCCUGCGGCCUUCCCCUCUCCAAAUGUCUAUAAGGCAUCCCCCGGACGCCCCUCUCUGCCUCCCCGAAACCCUAGCCCCCAAAUCCCCCCCUCUUCCUCGCUCAUAAUCGACGACCCAGGACGAGGCCGAGCUCGCGGUCUUCGUCAUCUUCACCGAUCCCGCGGCCACCGAGCCUCCCGCACCUCCUCUUGGUGCCCACCGGCUUCCCCUUCGUCGACUACCUCGACUACGAGCACUCACUCGAUCGGAGCCGCUCCAAAUCCUCGCCAUCGAGCUCAACCACGCCGUUGGCCGCACCACUACCUCACUGCCGCGCUGCUCCUCCGGUCCGUCCCUGGCCUCCUCGACUAAGCCCCAGAGUGUGCAGUGAGCCCCUCUCCCGAAUCCCCCUUUCCCCAACGUCGAUCCGUGCUUGUAGUCCCCAUCUCCGCGAGCUCGUCGCCGGCCGCACUCACUGCACCCCCCACACCGUGCGCCCCUGAGCACGUUCCCGCGCCUCGGCCGCGCUCGCGCCUCUUGUCCGCGCCCAUGCCACCCCCUGCGUCUUCCCCCUACAUGCCCGCGCUUGAUCGUCGUAGCUGCCAGCGCUGUGUGCUGCCGUGCGUGCCUGCGCACGCACACCCGCUCCGGCCUGUGCCUUGCCUCUCCUUAGGCCGCGCGAGGCCGCACCCCUGCACCGCCCCUGUGCCGCACAUGCAGCCCAGCGCCCAGCCCCGCCCCGCGGCCUUCUGCUGCUUCUGUUGCUUUGCCGCCGCUUAUCGCUGCCUGCUGCCGCGCUGUUGCCCUGGACGCGCCCGCUGCUAGCGCUCGCCUCCGGCCACCGGCGGGCCCGUUGUGCCCUCGGGCGCCCUUCCGCGUAUGGCCUCGCCUGCCGCUGCGGCUGCCCCACCUACGCCCGGCACAGCCGACCGCCCGCGCCACGGCUCUGACCACGCUGCUCUACUGCACUGCCGCUAGAUACUGUAGUUGUUGCUCGCUUCUAAUUCUUCACGGACUAACCCUCUAGACAGCCCCAACAGCGCCUAAACGACUGUUAACAGGAGUAAAAGUUUUAUGGGUAGGUAGUAUACUUGACAAGGUUCUAAUGUUUGCACUGGACCAAAUCCAUUUGAUGCAUGGACUAAAUCCUAUGAAAAUCACAGUGUGCUAUGUUCUGUUAACAGAAAACAUAAAAAACAGCUUUAUUGUCAUAGCUAUUUUAAGGCUGUUGUUGAACAAGCUGCAGGGAUCUGUGAUGCCAUAUAAGGGCAUGGCAUGAUAGUACUCUUGUUGUAGUACAAAACACUUAUAGGAAGUAUCACCUUUAGAGCUAUGGAUCAAUGGCAAUCAUCCAACAAACUUUGUACUCCCUCCGUUUCAAAAUUCUUUUCUUAGAUUUGUCUAGAUACGGAUGUACCUAAUACUAAAAUGUAACUUGAUACAUCCGUAUUUAGACAAAUUUAAGAUAAGAAUUUUGGGACGGAGGGAGUAUAUUAUUUUAACAAUUUCUGGAGUCAACAUCAAGUGGCACUUUUCAAAUGAAGUUUCGACGAAGGAACUGAACUCUAUCAUGGAUGUAAAUGAUACUAACAUGUAGAUCACAGAAAAUUUCUCAAAAUUGUUAUAAGGCACAAAAUCAUAGGACGUACAGAACCAUAGUUGUAGACUUUUGAAAACAACUAAGUGAUGUUUAAUACUGAGGAAUUCUCAGACUUUGCAGAUUUUCAGGAAUUUUCAGGAUAUUACUAAAACUUUAGAAAUUCGUAGAAAUUCAACCGUAGCUCCGAUGAAAAUGUUUUAUAUAUGAAAAAUGUUUAGAAAAAUGAGAUGAAAUCUGUUGGUGCCCUCCAUGUAGCUGUCACAUGCCUCUAACACUGCAACACAUGGAUCCUUCCCUCUCUUUCAUCUGUCCGAAAAAUACCAAACGCCGAGAAAACGUCCCCAGAUGUUUUCUCUCUACGUCUGUAACCCGUAGCACUGCGUCAGGUCACCCCUAGUGCAGCGUUUUGCCGUGUCAUGCUUUAUGAUGCUAUUGUUUGCUCUGUUAUUUAUUUGUUUCCCCUUUGUUGCUUAUUUUUGAUAGACCCCGAUACUGCGAUAGACCCCGAGACUGCUGAUGAUCUGGUGGUCGUCUACUUUGCUUGAAGAUCCGUUUUCGUCAGCAGAGCUUCCAGGCAAGCAAACCCCCCUUGAUCAUUUCGUUAUCGCCCAUUCCAUUCUCUCUCAUGUUUGCAUUAGAUAUUGUCGUUGUACUUGAUUGAUCCUAUUCUAAUGCAUAGCCUGCUUUUGUAACCUGCUCUCGUACCUUACCUGCUUAUCCUAAACUGCUUAGUAUAGGUUGGUUAGUGAGCCAUCAUUGACUCCUCAUCUUGUCCAUAUUGCCCCCGCUGGAUUACCAGAUGACUCGAUCAACAUGAUCGACGUCCAGGGCCUAACACAUCACCUCACCCCCCCCUUUAGUUGUAUGACUCUGCAGGGCUACUAUCGAGUGCCGAGGGUGAUGCCUCGUAGUGCACUCCUGAUGAUAACUCUGUAGUGUAGCUAAUCGGUCGUGGUCUGUCGAGGGUGAUUCCUCCUUCACCACUCCCGAUGACGACCCUAUCAUGCAACCCCUCAAGUAUGAACCAUCGAGGGUGAUUCCUCCUUAGUUCACCUUGAAGAUUACAUCAGGUGGAUUCCAUCGAGGGUGAUUCCUCGGAUUCCCCCUUGGUGUUUUGGACACACGGUUACUUUGACUUUACCACAGAACCAUGUUCAAGUCGGGUCGGCCCUGAGGGGUACCCACGAGUUGAUGUGUAGUCGGGUUGACCUGGAGGGUACCUGCGAGAUUUCUACGUGGCACGGCCGGGCAUUCUGGGCCCUUGCCGUAAGGCCACGAGACGGGGCGACGGGGUCACAUGAUCAGGAGUCUCUGCUCAUUACCGCGCGCUCCCAAGACACUAAUGGAUUGGGUAUUUGAUCUGAGUUGGCCACUGGCCUAUACGCACUAACCGCCACGUGGGACAAGAUAUGGGCAACCGGCGUCGUAGUAUCAGCCGUAGCUUUCCAAACGCAGUUACUAAGCGGCGCGCGCCCGGGUGGCCCACGUAAAGCAACCGCCUUUGUAAUGGAGGUUGCCAGGACUGAUCCCGGCCGCCCACGCAAUGUGCAAGAGUGCAAAGGGCAAUGGGCCUAAGACCCCUGCGCUCUUAGGAUGUAUACCGGCGUGCUGGCCUCUUUGUUGAGCCUAGGUAGGGUUGCGACGUGUUGAUCUUUCGAGGUCGGGCAUGGCCCAGGAAAGCGUGUCCGGCCAGAGAUGAUUGAGCGUGUCGGGUAAUGUGAUGCAUCCUUGCAGGGAAGUUAAUCUAUUCGAAUAGCCGUGUCCGCGGUAUUAGGACGACCUGGAGUUGUAUCUCGAUCUUUACAACUAGAACUGGAUACUGAGAUGUGAAAGGGAUAUGAUGGCUCCAGGAUUGCUUUCUUGCAGGGAGUCGAGAAAGGAUCUUUGGGCGCUAAUGCUACAACUUACUUGCUAAAUAUAAUAUGCUAUCAUGCACUCUUCUAAAUGCUGCAAAAUGCUUGAAGAUGCUAGUCUUCGAUAGGCUAGGCCUUCCCCUCUAUUCUGGCAUUCUACAGUAUAGUCCACAGAUACAUCCCUUCCCUUGAUACCAAUGCAUACUUAGUAUAGAUCUGAUGCUUGCGAGUACUUCAGAUGAGUACUGACGGUUGCUUUGCUAUCUUUUCCCCCUAGUUUCUUCUUUCUGGUUGUUGCGAACAUAUGAUGGAUCCCAGGAGCCAGAUGCCACUAUCGACGACUACUACUACCCUGACGGUGCCUACUACUACGUGGAGACCACCGACGACCAGGAGUAGUAGGCCUUGCCUUUUUUAUCGCCGUUGCUUUUGUGCUAGCCUUCUUAAGGCAAACUUGCUUAACUUAUGUCUAUACGCAGAUAUUUUUGCUUCCGCUGACUCGUUUGUUUUCGAGCUGACGUAUUCGAGCCCUCGAGGCCCCUGGCUUGUAAUAUAAAGCUUGUAUUAUUUUAAUUUGUGUCUAGAGUUGUGUUGUGAUAUCUUCCCGUGAGUCCCUGAUCUUGAUCGUACACAUUUGUGUGUAUGAUUAGUAUACAAUUGAAUCGGGGGCGUCACAGAC